UUUAUUACUUUGAAUGUGCAUGUUUUAUGCACCAGGGAAUUAACUGUCUCCAUUCUUUUUAAUUGAAAGUCAUAUUACCUUAGCAGGACAAGUAUUAUCAAGUAGGCAAGGUAGAGCAUGUAUUUUCUCUUUCACUGGACUCCUUAUUUUCCAACUAGAGCCUACAUGCUAUAAAAAGCGUCUUGAAAUUUGUUUAUCGUUCUUGUAACUUAACCGCUUAUUGAGGGCCUAAGAAUGUGUAUACACUUCAUUUGAUCACAUCAAACGUUCUCACCCCCAAAUAAGGCAUACAAUUAAUUCAUUAGUAGAUGAUUUGUUUCCAUGGGUAAGUGCCAGUUUUUGAUGAUUUCAUCAAUACUUUCACCACAGUAAUUUAUUUCCCAUUUAAUCAGUGUUUAAAUUGAACUGGAAUCAGGCAGAAAAACAACAACACAGUUUUGUAUAAUACAGGAGCAAGUGGAAAAGUCAUAGGACUUUAUCAUUAGAAGCCUCAUUGUAGAAGCACAGAUGGGUUAGGAGAUGUUAACAAAAAUGUGUCCAAGAAUAAAUCCUCUAUGAGCACUGUAUUAAUUCCCAAGGCUUCAUGACAAUUUUGCAUUAGUUAUUCUAAGUUUUGUUAUACUUUAUACAGAUCCAGGUAGAAAUCCUAUACACUGAGCAACCGUGAAGGCACUUCUUGUCAUGCUGCAUUUAACUUAAAUGAUUAGAUAGUUUAGAAAGGCGUUUCUUCCUAAAUUUGUCUAGGUGCUAAGUUCAAUAGUUAGUGAUUGUCUCUCUGUGCCUCUCCAAGCCAGUGUUGUUGAAGUAUGGGUUUCCCUUGGGGAAAGAUGGGCUACCUUGGAAAACUGAUUUUCAGAUAGAAGCCUGUCUACAAAAGUUUCUGGAUUAAGAAUUGUAGUUACUGGGUUUGCUUUCUUAAAACUGCUGAGAGAGAGGAUAUACAUAUAGUGUUCUUCAGGUAAGGGACUUCUUGAUAUGUAGACAUUUGUUAACUGCCGAAGUUUUUGUCUUAGGAUUUUUUUCUUCUUCCUCCUCAAGUCAUUGCAAAUACCGUUGAAGUCUCCCCUUUCACACGGUCACCCCAUUUCCCUCCUUCCAUCCCCAGAGAACCACUAUUCCCAAGUGGUUUUUACACGUCUUUAAACUUUUAAAAGUGGUCUCAUACUGAAGGCAUCCUAUUAUAUAAUACAUUUUUGCACUAAACAUUUUUAUUACAUCCAUGUUCUGCACACAUGUAGAUUUUGUUGAUUUAAAUGAUGUAUAAUAUACCAUUGAGGAAAUUUACCACAAUUUGUUAUCCAUUACCCUAUUGAGGGAAAUUUAAACAAAUGUUCACUUUUCAUUAUUACAAAAAACUUUACCAAUUGUUUGUAUCAUUUUUCUGGGAUGUGAAUUUGAGACUGUCUAUGAAGCCUGUGCUUUCCUCACUAUAUCAGAUUGACUCUCAAGUAGAUUUCUGUUAUAAUCCAGUUUGAUGCAGUAGCACACAUUGCUAAUGGAUUUAAUGUCUAAGGCUAAAAUGUAGAAGUACGGUAGCCACUAGCCACAUGUAGUUACUGGGUCCUUGAAAUGUGGCUAGUGCAAAUUAUGAUGUGCUCUAAGUAUAAAAUACCUACUAGAUUUUGAUCGAAAACAGAAUGUACAAUACCUCGUUAAAUUUUGGGCAUUCCAGUGUUUUGGGUACAUUAGAUACAUUGGGUUAAGUUAAUAUAUAAAAAUUAAUUUCCUCUGUUUUUACUUUAUUGACGUGGCCUCUAGGAAAUUUAAUUACAUACAUGGCUGUUGGACAAGUGGUGGUAAGCAAUUACUUAGGCUAAAGUGGAAUCUGUACUUCUAGGUGCCAGGUGGAGGCAGUAGAGAGUUGCUAGAAUCAGAAUUCUGGGUAGAGUGGCACUGCAUAGAGGUGCUGCGCUGUCAGGCUGAGCAGCUCAGACAGGCCAACUGUCUGCAAAAGGGUUAAAUGGAGCUGAAGCCAGUAAGGAUCCAGGGGUUAGAUUCUGGACCCAGAUUGAGAGGGAUUGCAGCCAAGUCAAUUUAGAGAACACAGAGCUGCUUUAAAAAUGAAAGCUCUAAUAUAGCACAGCUUUGAAGUCACAGUUCUACUGGGCACCGGACUCCGUGAACUCAGUCAAGUUAUUUGACUUAUGCAAGUCUCAGUUCUCACAUAUGUAAAUUGGGGAUGAGAGCACUUAUUUUUUUGGUUGGUCCAUGUAAAGAGCUUAUCACAUACACUGCAUGUUUGCUAUUAUCAUCAUCUGUUUUAAUGAUUCAUUGAGAAAGCAUAAGAAAUGGUAUCUCUUUUUGAAGCAGUAGACUCAGGCUGUAGGUAUUACCAUACAAAGGUUUAAAAUUACCCAUAUACAGCUCAACAUGAAGUUCUCUCAUCUGAGAAGUGAUACAUUACAGUUCUUACUAUCUUAUCUCUUGCCAGGCAAGAGCCUUAAAUUCAUUUCUUUUUCUCGCUUGAAGCUGGUGUAAUGCAUACAUUUGUUCACCACAGAAGUUUCCCAGUUCUGUGUUAAGCAAUCAUUAGGGAUGCAGAGAUUAGUGAAAUGUGACUAAAAUACUUAAAGUUAGGUGAAAGAGAUAGAGGGCUGUUACUUAGCUAGGAUACAAUGUGAUGGGAACCAAAGUUGAUUUAUGAGAAAGUAAUUAAUUCCAUGUGGAGAGUGCAGAGGGCUUCCAUGAUGGUGUUGAAAAGUGGAGGACAUUAUGGAGCUAGUCAUUAUUCUAUUCGAUAAAUUCCGCAGUCUCUCAAGGUUCAGUAUCCUUGAUCUUUACCAGUGAUCUCCAUCACCCACCAUCAAAAUAUCACCACAGAGCACAUUGCCAAUAGAAAAUGCUCCAUUUUCAAGACAUGAGCUCUGAUUUUCUUCACAGCACUGUCCAACCUUGACCAGUCUUCAUUCAUGCAGUGGUCUCUAAUGUGGAAUAUGUCGAUUUGGGGGCUUUGCUUUGCAGUUCAAAGGGGUUCAGAAAGAAAACAUUAAAGCUUUUAUUUAUAUUUAGCUUUUAAUCAACCUUUUAUAAUAUGUAUUUUUUGUGUAUUCUUUAUAACUACACAAUUAGUACAGCAAUAUAAGUAAACAUGCAUAUUUUGAUACUGAGCAAAAUUUAGUGAUGAGGUACACAUCAUCAAAGGCAUCUAUAGACAACUAAUAUAUUAUUCAUAAUUUGUGUUUUUUUAGUAAAAGAAACCCAACUUACACUAAGGUUAUGAAGAGGUCAUUUAUUGGAGCUCUGUAAAGACCAGGUGUGUAGUUAGUCUCAGUAUGUGGGGUCCACGCUGCACUGAUAUUAGAGUGCCUUCACUCUGUUUCUCAGCUCUUUGUGUUGGACAAGAUGGUAAAUACUACAUUCACACUAUUCCAACUUAAUGCCUAGUAGGAAAGUACUUUGAGAAAAUGCCCAGAGUAGACUGAUUCAUUCAUAUAUCGAUACAGAAACCAACCAGACCAAUCAUUGAGGUCAGUGGGAAUAGAAUAUUCUUUCCAUGGGAAUCACAUGGUAAAGCAGUGGGCAAAUAGGACACGUAGCAGCCUAGAUUAGGGUGAGACUGAUUACUUCAGGACAGGUUUCAUGCAAAGGGUAACUUUUCCUAAAAUUGUAAGCAGCCCUGAGAAACUCAAGUAAGGUGUUGGGCUCAUUCCUCAGCUGAGGAAAGUUUUAUGUAAAAUUUAUAUAAAAAUGACCCCAAGUCUAGGCAAACAUAGUUUCUAAUACCCCCAAGUUACAAAAAGGCAGAGAAAUAAUUUCUCUUUCUUUAGAGCUGCCAGUGUGCUUUCUCUGAGUGUGUCUUAGGGUGUUAAGUUAUAGGCUUUGUGGUUAGAGUGGCUUUGUUUUCACCUUGACUCUACUCCACACUAGCUGUGUAUAUGCUGGACAAAUGUCAGAAUCUCUUAUCAUCUGUACUUUCUUGGCAUAAUCUUUGUUUGGAAAUUAGAGUAUGCAGUUUAGUUCCUAGUACUUAAUAAAUAGGAACUAUUAUAUUGAUGCUGCUAAUGCUAUUGUUUUCCUUUUCAAACAGUUUGGCCAGAUUGCUAUAGUUAAGGAUACAGGGCUGAUUCAUAUUUAGAAAUUUCAUAAAUCCCCAUAUAGUCUGGUAUGUAGUAGAUGUUCAAUAAAUACUUUUGAAUGAUGAA